rnacentral:rRNA from 1 species
CAUGCCGUAAACGGUGGGCGCUAGGUGUAGGGGACUUCCACGUCUUCUGUGCCGUAGCUAACGCAUUAAGCGCCCCGCCUGGGGAGUACGGCCGCAAGGCUAAAACUCAAAGGAAUUGACGGGGGCCCGCACAAGCGGCGGAGCAUGUGGAUUAAUUCGAUGCAACGCGAAGAACCUUACCUGGGCUUGACAUACACCGGACCGGGCCAGAGAUGGUCCUUCCCUUGUGGCCGGUGUACAGGUGG